CAGGUCUUGACAUCCUUUGACCACUCUAGAGAUAGAGCUUUCCCUUCGGGGACAAAGUGACAGGUGGUGCAUGGUUGUCGUCAGCUCGUGUCGUGAGAUGUUGGGUUAAGUCCCGCAACGAGCGCAACCCUUAUUACUAGUUGCCAGCAUUUAGUUGGGCACUCUAGUGAGACUGCCGGUGACAAACCGGAGGAAGGUGGGGACGACGUCAAAUCAUCAUGCCCCUUAUGACCUGGGCUACACACGUGCUACAAUGGAUGGUACAACGAGUCGCGAGACCGCGAGGUUUAGCUAAUCUCUUAAAACCAUUCUCAGUUCGGAUUGUAGGCUGCAACUCGCCUACAUGAAGCCGGAAUCGCU
rnacentral:rRNA from 1 species